rnacentral:rRNA from 1 species
AUUGAACGCUGGCGGCAGGCCUAACACAUGCAAGUCGAGCGGGGUUUUCGGACCUAGCGGCGGACGGGUGAGUAAUGCGUAGGAAGCUACCCGAUAGAGGGGGAUACCAGUUGGAAACGACUGUUAAUACCGCAUAAUGUCUACGGACCAAAGUGUGGGACCUUCGGGCCGCAUGCUAUCGGAUGCGCCUACGUGGGAUUAGCUAGGUGGUGGGGUAAUGGCUCACCAAGGCGACGAUCCCUAGCUGGUUUGAGAGGAUGAUCAGCCACACUGGAACUGAGACACGGUCCAGACUCCUACGGGAGGCAGCAGUGGGGAAUAUUGGACAAUGGGCGCAAGCCUGAUCCAGCCAUGCCGCGUGUGUGAAGAAGGCCUUCGGGUUGUAAAGCACUUUCAGUAGGGAGGAAGGGUGUUGUGUUAAUAGCACAGCAUUUUGACGUUACCUACAGAAGAAGCACCGGCUAACUCUGUGCCAGCCGCCGCAGUAAAAC